UCCCUGGUUGAUCCUGCCAGUAGUCAUAUGCUUGUCUCAAAGAUUAAGCCAUGCAUGUCUCAGUGCAAGCCGCAUUAAGGUGAAACCGCGAAAGGCUCAUUAAAUCAGUUGUGGUUCCUUAGAUCGUACCCAAGUUACUUGGAUAACUGUGGUAAUUCUAGAGCUAAUACAUGCCGACAGAGUUCCGACCGUCGCGGCGCCCUCCGGGACGUCGCGUGCGGGAGGAACGCUUUUAUUAGAUCAAAACCGGCCCGUCGCGGCGCGCCUCGCGCGCGUCCCGAUCGCGGCCCGCGCAAAGACCUGGUGACUCUGAAUAACUUCGAGCUGAUCGCACGGUCUCCGUACCGGCGACGCAUCUUUCAAAUGUCUGCCUUAUCAACUGUCGACGGUAGGUUCCAUGCCUACCGUGGUGGUAACGGGUAACGGGGAAUCAGGGUUCGAUUCCGGAGAGGGAGCCUGAGAAACGGCUACCACAUCCAAGGAAGGCAGCAGGCGCGCAAAUUACCCACUCCCGGAACGGGGAGGUAGUGACGAAAAAUAACGAUACGGGACUCAUCCGAGGCCCCGUAAUCGGAAUGAGAACACUUUAAAACCUUUAAACGAGGAUCAAUUGGAGGGCAAGUCUGGUGCCAGCAGCCGCGGUAAUUCCAGCUCCAAUAGCGUAUAUUAAAGUUGUUGCGGUUAAAAAGCUCGUAGUCGGAUCUGUGUCUGGGCGGUGCCGGACCACCCUGGCGGUCCGGCGUGUCGCGGCCGGUCGCGUCGCGGGACCACGUCCCGUCGGCGCGGCCGUCGUCGCGCUCGCCGGCCGUCUCGGGGUGUUUGUUACCGGCACGUCGGCCGGACGUAUUGUCGGCAGGCGGACACGUGUCCCGUGCUCCCGGCGCGCCGCGCGGCCCAGCGUCGCGCGGCCGUCGGCGUACGGCGACGGCGGCCGCCUACUCCAAUCUUGCUGCGCGGUGCUCUUCACCGAGUGCCGUCGGCGGGCCGACACGUUUACUUUGAACAAAUUAGAGUGCUCAAAGCAGGCUCAAAUCUGGCGGGCCGGCCUCGCGGCCGUCCCGUCAAAAGGCCCUGAAUACUGGUCGCAUGGAAUAAUGGAACAAGACCUCGGUCCCGCGCAUCUCCGCCCUUCGCGGGCGCGCGAAACCGCCCUCCGGGGCGUUUCC
rfam:Picea glauca, whole genome shotgun sequence.